ACGUGGUUACCUGCUGGAGAGCAGAUGAAAAGGAGGAGAAGCUGUGGCUGCUGAGGCCCAGGCAUGUGUGAUGCACCAGCUCUGAGGGGCAGGCAGAGGGCAGGGCUGCCCCGGGUGGAAAGAAAGGGGGAGCGAAGCGAGGGAGAGGAGUUAUUGGUAUGUAAACUCUACCGAAGGAUAAAAUGAAAUUGGGAUUAAGGUUUUCUCAGGGAGAUGGAGGGUGUGUAUGCUGUGUCCCAAUGGUAUAGCGGUGGUGGCAUUUGCCCUUCUGAUAGGAAAUGCUCUGUGGGGUGGGAAGAAUGGACAAAAAUGGGGGGGAGUGUUGAGGAGGGUCAGUUGGUGGGGGGAGUGAGAAAUGUCCCUAUUUUCAUCUGAGGAAUGUUGGAGGGUAUGCAGCCAGUGUAGACAGUACUGAGCUAGAUAAACCAAUGGUUUUAUUUGGUAUAAACCAGCAUCCCAUAUGGGCCCUACAGGGGCCCUGGCAGCUGCAUGAUUUUGCCAUAUGCUGGUGCCCAGCCUGGUCUUAUGCCUUCCUCAACCCAGUCUUAGUGCUGUUUUAGAAACCGAGGCAGCGUUUGAUCCAAGAAAUCUUGGCUUAAACGCACCACAAAGGAAGAGACAGCAGAGGCAGUUAAGGUCUAAUAGAAGGAAAAUGUGAGCUUCUGCCUCUCACACACAUUUAUAAUUACGCCAGCAGCAUGCUGUGCUGGUUCUUAUUGGCCUUGUUGAAUCUCGCUGGAGAUCAAGGAUUGCAAAAUGCAGAGUCGGUGCUGUUUUCCUCUGACGAGGCAGUGGGUGUCUCAUGUCACUGGAGUGGAUUCAGAAGAAGCUCGUUAAUGAACUUCCCGAGUCGCCCAAUCCAUGGUGCGCUGAACAAGGAAGCGGAAUAUUGAUUCAGUAGUAAGUCGCAACUCUCAAUUUGUAGGUGGCUUAACAGGAGCGAUAAUAGUGAUAUUUUCCAGGCCCGUGUUUCUGGAGAGAUCACACCGUUAUUUUGGCAGCAAACUUAGAGGCCUUUAAAAACCUCAUCCUUUCCCAGAGGACUUUGAAAGAAGAUCAGUUUUGCAUUGCUAACUGCAUAAGACGAGCAGAAAUUAAUACUCUAUUUACAGUGCUAAAAAAAACCACAGUGACAAUCCCAAGCCUGCCUAGAAAUCAUUGGAUGGCGCUGAAGUUAUUAGUCAUCUAUUAGCGACCUCUCCAUUAUUUACAUGUCACCUGUCUCUCAUGUGCUAACAAAUUCUUGAUUGCUCAGUGCAACCUGAGCCUUGUUCCUUCCACAUAACACUUUAUCUCCUCAUUAUUCUUUCUAGGUUAUGGGAGGAGGAUGUGUAGAUACCAUCCCACCCCACCAAGAAUGCCCAUUAGCGAUCUACAUAUAACCUAAAACAUUGCAGCUCUGCUUGCUAGUGUAACGUGGUAACAGAUGGCACCUAAGUGGAUGGGUUGUAGACCCAUUUCCUUUUCCCUGCACCAACAUGAUUUGCGGCAUUGUUUUGUUGCAUUAGCAGUUGUGUGGCAGGAUUUAUGAGCUGGGAGUUUAUUCGCAGUGGGUUAAUGUUAUGUAGUCAGUGACUUCCCCUACAGCCAUGCAAAGCUUUUGGAAGACAUACUUCUCUGGGUUGGCCCUAGCAUUAGACGGAGGGAUGCAGCUGUGACCCAUGGCAGAAGCUUGUGGUGUGUGGGUGGCAGGGGCCACCGGUGAAGAUCAGAGGAGCUAUAAACAGUCCACUGAAACAGCACAACAAUCAAAACAACAGUUACAACAAUUACAACAGCAGUUGCAGGUCAGGAGACCAGGGGAAAGCUUGUCUAAACAGGUGUGUCUUCAAGAGCUGGUGGAAUGCCAAUACUGAUGGCAUGCUUGAGUGUGUGGCAGGCAUUCUAUAAAACCAGUGAAAAAUCCUGUCUUCCUGUUACCGCAAGCCAAUACUCAGGAGGUAACUUUCACAUCCAUUGCUCUGCCCACUUCUGCCUCUGGUCUCACCACUGGGAUGUAGAUCCCGGAAAUUUGCCUAAGAGGCAAUGUGGCAUCUGGGAUGAAAAAUGGUUUGUUGCCCUUGUGUUAGGAGGAGGCUUGCUGACUUGCUGUAGAAAUCAAGUUGGGCUCCCUGACUUUGAGAACAUGCUGGUGAACUGUGCCCAAACUCUUUAGAAGAAGUCCAGCACAAGUCUGUCCUUAUAAACCCUGACCAAUAGGUCUGACACUGAAAUCUCAGGUUUCAGGCAGCGUUGCACUAAAGGCUCCAAUUCCGAAUUAUGUGGCAAUGCCAUUUUCAUUUAAACAAUUACUUACACCCAACAACACUUGAUGUUUUAUUAAGUCUAAAUUGGAUAGAUAUUUGGGAAUAAUAACUUAAUAGGUUGCACUUAGUACGUCCCCUAGGAUGGCGUUUAAUGAAGUUCCAAACAGUUGCUAAUUCCUUCAUUCAUAAAUAAAACAUUAACAGUUUUUUUGGGGGAGGGAGUAGAUGGGGGAGGGGAAAUAUGCAAAACAACUAAAAUGAGGGAGAUUUCAAAGAGGAGUAAAUAAUAGCAUUUUGCCUUUUGGGAUUUUGGUAUGUUAAUGCAUGUUAUGGCUUUCUCUGAGGAGCCAUCGGUGGUCUGCUGAAGCCGCUUGCACUGCAGCCCUCUGACAUUUAAACUGCUCUGGGAUUUGUUUCCACUUACGCCUCUGCUUUCCCCAUUAAGUACUCUUCGCUUUCUGAGAGAGCUGAUCUCACAGGAAAACAGAUUUGUCAGGAAGCCACAUUGACCUCUGGGGAUUUUUUUAUUUUAAUGGGCUGAAACAAUACACUCCAACUGUUUACCUGCAGUCAUCGCUGUUUUCCAUUAUCUCUCGGUGUGGUAUGACUCUAUCCAGUGCUAUUUUUUCUAGAAAAAGAGGUGCUGGAACUCACAAUGAACCCUUCCCUUGUUUACUUAUAAUGGCAAUGGCACCCACCUGAGAGGUGCUGGAACUGAGUUCUGGCAAGUUCUGGCUGGAAAAAAAAGCACUGAUGUUGUUGCCCUGUUGUAAGCUUCAAUGCGAUUUUGAAGACGCCUUUCAAAGCUGGAAUUAGGGUGCACCCAUAUGCAUUAGGAUUGUUAAGGACUUCCAAGUUCUCCCGUGGGUUUUGUGAGUUCACACCCCUAGAUGGAGGUGUAAUGCAAGCAGGAACUAAAGUGAUUUAGAAAUGAUUGUAUGGGGGGAAUCAGUUCUGAGUGACACUAGGAAGCAAAGAAUCGUAGGGUUGAAAGGGUCUCCAAGGGUUGUCUAGUUCAACCCCAAGUGAAACUAACUAGUUUGGUAGCAGCAUCAGCUAAGUUUGUUCCUUCUCCUCCACUCUCUAUGUAUCAUCUUGUCAUCUUUCAAAUACUACAGGAGGCCUGCUCAGGCUCCCAGCCCAACUCUUACCUGUGAGUAAGCCAGGGUAAAAGUCAGAGGCAUUUCCUGAUACAUUGAUCCUUAACAGGGACCAUAUCAAGGUGUGAGUGAGACCACCAGACAGCUACAUAAUCUUCUGGUUUUGCAGCAGCCCAAGAAACUCUGAGAUGGUAAGUGUGUUUUUUCAUAAGUGCAGCACACACUGCUUUUUUCAGGCAUUUCUCUCUCUUUCUUUUAUUUGAUAAAACAUUUAAGCAAACAAACUGAUACAAAGAAGUCAAAGCAUUCCAAAGAUCACAUCAAGAAAAAUAAAUAUAUACAUAUAGAAUCUAUGACAACAGCAGACUUGCAAAGUUAACAGCAACCUUCUCUAAACCUCGGAGAAAGUCAGUGAUAGAAUCUCUAAAUAAAUAAAAUGUGGAAUAUUGAUAUAACGUUCAGAAUAAUAUGCCUCUCCAAAAACAAAAGUGAACAGAAGGUGGUCUAGGUCCUUCUGGUAAGGAAUUUAUGAAAUUCAUGAAGAGAGGCCAGUUAUUGUGAAACUUACCUCUGGAAAUGUCACAUCUGACUCCUCUGCAAUGUUGUGUUAGAUUGUCUACAAGGGCAACUUUCAAAACACUACCAUACCAAUUUUGCGUAGUAAAACAACGAUCACUUCCCCAUGAGAAUCCAAUCUCUUAUCUGGGAUGCUACCAGGAAAUGGACUAUUUAUGUCUUAAACAAAAUAUCUUUAUUUGCUCCUUGAAAUAAAGAUGGCACUGCCAAGCCUGGGCCUUUAAUCACUGUAGUAUUCAGAGUUCUAGAAAUUACAUCCAAUUCUCAGUUGUAAUGUUUGAGCCAUCUUUCUAUCCCAUGGUUACCACAAAGCAGGCAGCCGCCAGUAGAUGGUAUAUAUCUUCAGCAGGGGAAAAGCCCUCAAGAAGUCACCCUGGUUGAGAGAGAAGGGGCACUCAACACGUAAAAGACUGUCCCUAUUUUCAUUCGUGAAAUGUCCAAUGGUAUGUGUACCUACUAGCCAGAACAGCAGCCCCACAGUCAAGGGCCUUAUUUGGUGGUUGCCCUGGAGUGGAGAUUUGCCAGCCUGAGGACCGCAUUCCCUUCUGCUCAACGUUCCUGGGGCCACAUGGCAGCAAUGGGUAGGGCCGGAGGCUAAAACAGGUGGAGAAGAUAAUCUUUACCUUUGAACAGCAGGCUUACUUCUACACACACUUGCUUACCCUUCUCUGCCCCCUGCCCUCCAUCCAGACAAGCAAGAGGCAAUCUCAGGGUUCCAGGUCACAUUUCAUCCAAGCAAAAACACAGAAGAAGAAGAAGAAGAAGAAGAAGAAGAAGAAGAAGAAGAAGAGUUUGGAUUUGAUAUCCCGCUUUAUCACUACCCUAAGGAGUCUCAAAGCGGCUAACACUCUCCUUUCCCUUCCUCCCCCACAACACACACUCUGUAAGGUGAAUGGGGUUGAGAGACUUCAAAGAAGUGUGACCAACCCAAGGUCACCCAGCAGCUGCAUGUGGAGGAGCAGGGAAGCGAACCUGGUUCCCCAGAUUACGAGUGUAUCGCUCUUAACCACUACACCACACUGGCUUAAGGUGCAAAGGAGGGUCUGUGAGGGGUGUGACUUGGGAAGAGGGGAUGUGACCAGGGGAAAGUUUGGAGGGUCAGACAGACCCCACCACCACCUCCAAGGCCUGAUGUUCCCUACCUCGCCUGUGCAGACCGGAAGCUGCUUUUCCUAGCCUUCUGUUGUCAGCUCAGUCCCAAUCUAUUUUUACCAUUAAUUCAUUACCAUUACAACGGCAUGGAUUUUCUCUGCCUUUGUUUUGCGAUUCACCACCCCCCACGAGCCCAGUCUCCAACAAUGUGCGAAGAUCACAGAGAUUUGGAAGGCGCUUCUUUGUCAGCAGAAUGAAGAAGCAGAUCCAGCUAAUGCUGUGACCACCCAUGGUUUCCAUGGACUUCAGUCGGGCGAUUGAUGCCUGCCUGGCGCCUCCUGGGAUAUAGCCGACUUUUUAGAUAGAUUAGGGCUAAAAGGAGAUGAUAGACCCAAGAAGGAAGGACAAAACAUUCCAAAAGUUUGUCAUUAAUUGAGGUGAUGGGUGAUUUGUGGUGGCAGCCAACUAACUUGGAGUGGAGCUAUUGAAAUGAAUGGGCUUAAGUUGGCCAUGUCUAUUAGAUUCAAUGGAGAAAAGACUGAGAGCCUGGAAAAGAGGCGAUACCAAUAGCCAUCUCCAGAUAUCUGAAGGGCUGUCAAGUGGAUGGAACAAGCUUAUUUCCUGCUGCUCCAGAGGGGAAGGACCUGAACCAAUGGAUUCAAAUUCAAAGAAAGGAAAUUCCAACUAAACCUUAGGAAGAACUUUCUGAUGGUAAGAGCUGUUCAAAAGUGGAAUGGGUUACCGCAGAAGGCGGUGGACUCUCCUUUGUUUGAGGUUUUCAAACAGAUGUUGCGGAGGCCAUCUGUCAGGGAUUCUUUAGCUGUGGUCUAGAAUGCCUUUGUGUCACUUCCAGUUCCAUAAUUCUAUGAUUCCAUGUUCUACUCUGGGUAGGACUAGCAUGGGAUGCAACCCAUGGUGUGCGGUCUGGUUUGAAAUCCUGUGUUAGUUGAUUUCAACAAAAACAACUCUGAAGAUCAAGAUCACUUCCCAUCAAUAUCACUUCUUUGCAGUGUUCCAUAAAUAUACAUAUGAGCAUCAGCAGCGGAGGCUGGUUCAUUGGGGCUAAGGGGCACUCACUGCCCCACCAGCUUCAGCCUGACCUCAGCCAGACCCCACUUGCCUGACUUCUGUCCUCUCCGCUAUGCUUUUCAACAUCUACAUGCAGCCGCAGGGAGAGAUCAUCAGGGGGUUUGGGCUGGGUGUUCAUCAGUAUGCAGAUGAUACCCAGCUCUACCUCUCUUUCAAAUCAGAACCAGUGAAGGUGGUGAAGGUCCUGUGUGAGUGUCUGGAGACGCUUGGAGGAUGGAUGGCAGCGGCUAACAGAUUGAGGUUGAAUCCUGACAAGACAGAAGUACUGUUUUGGGGGGACAGGAGGCGGGCGGGUGUGGAGAACUCCCUGGUCCUGAAUGGAGUUACUGUGCCCCUGAAGGACCAGGUGCGCAGCCUGGGAGUCAUUUUGGACUCACAGCUGUCCAUGGAGGUGCAGGUCAAUUCUGUGCCCAGGGCAGCUGUUUAUCAGCUCCAUCUGGAACUCAGGUUGAGACCCUACCUGCCCACGGACUGUCUCGCCAGUGUGGUGCAUGCUCUGGUUAUCUCUUGCUUGGACUACUGCAAUGCGCUCUAUGUGGGGCUACCUUUGAAGGUGACCCGGAAACUACAACUAAUCCAGAAUGCGGCAGCUAGACUGGUGACUGGGAGCGGCCGCCGAGACCACAUAACACAGGUCUUGAAAGACCUACAUUGGUUCCCAGUACGUUUCUGACCUUUAGAGCCCUAAACAGCCUCAGUCCAGUAUAUCUGAAGGAGCGUCUCUACCCCUUUGUUUUACUUGGACACUGAGGUCCAGGGCCGAGGGCCUUCUGGCGGUUCCCUUACUGUGAGAAGCCAAGUUACAGGGAACCAGGCAGAGGGCCUUCCCGGUAGUGGCACCUGCCCUGUGGAACGCCCUCCCAUCAGAUGUCAAAGAGAUAAACAACUAUCUGACAUUUAGAAGACAUCUGAAAGCAGCCCUGUUUAGGGAAGCUUUUAAUGUUUGACACAUUACUGUAUUUUAAUAUUUUGUUGGAAGCUACCCAGAGUGGGCAUAAACAAACAAACAACAACAACUAUUAUUAUUAUUAUUAUUAUUAUUAUUAUUAUUUGUAACCUGUCAGGGUGUAGCAUUGCCUAUCAGCUUCCUCUUCCUUUGUCUCAGUGUUGCCCUUGCAGGACUCAACAGGGAGGAAGAUGGGGACAAAACUAAAAUUUGUUUGCUCUGCUUCUCAUUGGUCCUGGCACCACCUACUCUCUGCCUUGCACCCUACCAGUCCCAAUAAACAUCAACCACCACAGUGAAGCCAUAGCAUUGAUAACGGGUGGGGAAGAUGACAAUGAAUGGGAGUAACUGAAAGCUGUGGAAAAUAGUUCUGGAGCUAAUUUUAGAUCUUCUCUACACUGAACCAGAAUUUGAAUGUAAAGGAAAACAGGGCAUAGCAAAAUGAUGGGACAAUAAAUUAACAGGGCGAGGGAAAUCUACUCAUCACUAGCGAUGGUAUCAAAAAAACCCUGGAGCCAAAUUUCCGUUGUGUAAUUCAUGAAUUAUCUAGAAAGACGUGCGUUAUCUCCCAGUCUGCUUAUACCCAUAUAGCAUGCAAUGUGUUGACUGAUACCUGAGAGUAGUAAACCAAUCAAUAUCUACACACAAUGGUUGACGGGAGCAAAUUAGUUAAUUUAAGUGACUGGUUGUAGAUCUCCACACUUUGCAGCAGUACAAUGGGGCUUUUUGAGGAGAGUUUGCCUGCUUUCUUUUAUAACAAGAAAUAGUUGCCAAUUCUACUUUGCCUCAUCAAAUCACUUCUCCAGCUUUUCAUGAUAUAGCCAACUGCUACAUCUCUCAAGCAUCUUUUAUUAUCCUUCUAAUGCAUUUUAUUGCCUUGUAUUUUUAUGUGUGAUAUAUCUUUUCAACCUAAUAUUUUCCCUUCCUUUAAGGACUGUAAUUAUGCCAACUAUUUGUAUCUGCUAGAACUUUAUAGUUCAUUAAGUCCAACUCACCAACACCAGCAUACUUAGCAAAUGGGGAAGGGAACUCUAAAGCGGCCAGUGUUGACCGUCACUGAUGGAUUUAGUGCUGCAAGUCAACCAGUUACCUUCCUUGUCUCACCUACUUCUAGACUAUGCAAGCUUGCACUGCCCAGUUUUAUUUGAUUUCUGCCUCCCAGAUGAUUUCUGUGCUCAAUGGUGAGUCUCCAUAACUUAAUCCUAGACGUGGCUCUGAUUGCUGAUCGUUCUGGGCAUCCUGUUGAUUGCUAAACAUGAAGUCCUGACAUAGCAAGAAGAAUGCCAAGAGCAGCCUCAGAUAAUAGAUACAGGGAUAUUUUGGGGAGGGAGAGAAGCUGAUGAAGUAGGUGACCCACAUUUCAAAGCUUCCUGCCAUGCAUGGAUCACUCUCACUUGAUUGACUUCUCUCUGCAGCCACGAGAGCUGGAAAAAUGUUCAUCCAAAUAUGAAAGUGCUGGUACUCUGUAGUAUAUAAUAUGAUCCCAUCUGCUGCAUCAUGAUGCCUGAGGGCUGCAUGCCAUCCUUUGGUAUCUUAUUUUCUUAACCAAACCUUUCUUUUUUCUUUUUUCUAUUUCCCAUACAGGCAUAGAGGAAGUGGAGACCUCUUCAUAGUGGUAUGGUAUUUCAAUUGGCCAGCAGAGAAAGGAAAUGGUUGUGCAUGUGUCCAUGUGUGUGUAUUCCCAAAGAAAACAGAGCAAUAAAAUGGAAUCUGAGCAUCUGAGCAAAGGAUCGAGGCUCUCCAGUCAAUCAAA